rnacentral:rRNA from 1 species
CCUACGGGAGGCAGCAGUGGGGAAUUUUGGACAAUGGGCGCAAGCCUGAUCCAGCCAUGCCGCGUGCGGGAAGAGGGCCUUCGGGUUGUAAACCGCUUUUGUCAGGGAAGAAAAGGUUCUGGUUAAUACCUGGGACUCAUGACGGUACCUGAAGAAUAAGCACCGGCUAACUACGUGCCAGCAGCCGCGGUAAUACGUAGGGUGCAAGCGUUAAUCGGAAUUACUGGGCGUAAAGCGUGCGCAGGCGGUUAUGCAAGACAGAGGUGAAAUCCCCGGGCUCAACCUGGGAACUGCCUUUGUGACUGCAUAGCUAGAGUGCGGCAGAGGGGGAUGGAAUUCCGCGUGUAGCAGUGAAAUGCGUAGAUAUGCGGAGGAACACCGAUGGCGAAGGCAAUCCCCUGGGCCUGCACUGACGCUCAUGCACGAAAGCGUGGGGAGCAAACAGGAUUAGAUACCCUGGUAGUCCACGCCCUAAACGAUGUCAACUGGUUGUUGGGAGGGGUUUCUUCUCUAGUACGUAGUCGUACGCGUGAGUAGACCGCCGNGGGAGGUAACGGUCCGCGAGGUUAGUAACGUUACGAAAGGUAAGUUAGACGGCGUGAGACGNGCCGACGGACGACGACGAGGGAGGAGG